GACGAACGCUGGCGGCGUGCUUAACACAUGCAAGUCGAACGGAAAGGCCCCCUUGUGGGGUACUCGAGUGGCGAACGGGUGAGUAACACGUGAGUAACCUACCCUUGACUUUGGGAUAACUUCAGGAAACUGGGGCUAAUACCGGAUAGGAGCUCCUGCUGCAUGGUGGGGGUUGGACAGUUUCGGCGGUUGGGGAUGGGCUCGCGGCUUAUCAGCUUGUUGGUGGGGUAGUGGCUCACCAAGGCUUUGACGGGUAGCCGGCCUGAGAGGGUGACCGGCCACAUUGGGACUGAGAUGCGGCCCAGACUACUACGGGAGGCAGCAGUGGGGAAUAUUGCACUAUGGGCGGAAGCCUGAUGCAGCAACGCCGCGUGCGGGAUGACGGCCUUCGGGUUGUAAACCGCUUUCGCCUGUGACGAAGCGUGAGUGACGGUAAUGGGUAAAGAAGCACCGGCUAACUACGUG
rnacentral:rRNA from 1 species